rnacentral:rRNA from 1 species
AGUGAACGCUGGCGGCGCGCUUAACACAUGCAAGUCGAGCGAGAGCCCAGGCUUCGGCUUGGGGGACAGCGGCGAACGGGUGGGUAUCACGUGGGUAAUCUGCCCUCGGCAUCGGGAUAGCCCGGGGAAACCCGGAUUAAUACCGAAUGGCCCAUCCGCUCUUCGGAGCGGCUGGAAAAGGUAGCUUCGGCCUCCGGCCGAGGAGGAGCCCGCGGCGGAUUAGCUUGUUGGUGGGGUAACGGCUCACCAAGGCGACGAUCCGUAGCUGGUCUGAGAGGACGAUCAGCCACACUGGGACUGAGACACGGCCCAGACUCCUACGGGAGGCAGCAGUGGGGAAUCUUGCGCAAUGGGCGAAAGCCUGACGCAGCGACGCCGCGUGCGGGAAGAAGGCCUUCGGGUUGUAAACCGCUUUCAGGAGGGACGAAGCCACUCAGGUUAAUAGCCGAGAGGGUGACGGUACCUCCAGAAGAAGCCCCGGCUAACUACGUGCCAGCAGCCGCGGUAA